GAUGAACGCUGGCGGCGUGCCUAAUACAUGCAAGUCGAGCGAACGGACGAGAAGCUUGCUUCUCUGAUGUUGGCGGCGGACGGGUGAGUAACACGUGGAUAACCUACCUAUAAGACUGGGAUAACUUCGGGAAGCCGGAGCUAAUACCGGAUAAUAUUUUGAACCGCAUGGUUCAAAAGUGAAAGACGGUCUUGCUGUCACUUAUAGAUGGAUCCGCGCUGCAUUAGCUAGUUGGUAAGGUAACGGCUUACCAAGGCAACGAUGCAUAGCCGACCUGAGAGGGUGAUCGGCCACACUGGAACUGAGACACGGUCCAGACUCCUACGGGAGGCAGCAGUAGGGAAUCUUCCGCAAUGGGCGAAAGCUUGACGGAGCAACGCCGCGUGAGUGAUGAAGGUCUUCGGAUCGUAAAACUCUGUUAUUAGGGAAGAACAUAUGUGUAAGUAACUGUGCACAUCUUGACGGUACCUAAUCAGAAAGCCACGGCUAACUACGUG
rnacentral:rRNA from 1 species